rnacentral:rRNA from 1 species
GACGAACGCUGGCGGCGUGCUUAACACAUGCAAGUCGAACGGAAAGGCCUGCUUUCCCUUGUGGAUUGCGGGUACUCGAGUGGCGAACGGGUGAGUAACACGUGAGUGAUCUGCCCCCAACUUGGGUAUAAGCCUGGGAAACUGGGUCUAAUUCCCGAUAGGACUGCAGGGUGGUGCCUGUGGUGGAAAACGAUUUUCUAGUGGUUGGGGAUGAGCUCGCGGCCUAUCAGCUUGUUGGUGGGGUAAUGGCCUACCAAGGCGGCGACGGGUAGCCGGCCUGAGAGGGUGGACGGCCACAUUGGGACUGAGAUACGGCCCAGACUCCUACGGGAGGCAGGAGUGGGGAAUAUUGCACAAUGGGCGGAAGCCUGAUGCAGCGACGCCGCGUGGGGGAUGACGGCCUUCGGGUUGUAAACUCCUUUCGACCGCGAGGAAGCCACCUGGUUGGAAGGGUGGUGACGGUAGUGGUAGAAGAAGCACCGGCUAACUACGUG